UGGGGAAUAUUGGACAAUGGGCGAAAGCCUGAUCCAGCCAUGCCGCGUGUGUGAAGAAGGUCUUCGGAUUGUAAAGCACUUUAAGUUGGGAGGAAGGGCAUUAACCUAAUACGUUAGUGUUUUGACGUUACCGACAGAAUAAGCACCGGCUAACUCUGUGCCAGCAGCCGCGGUAAUACAGAGGGUGCAAGCGUUAAUCGGAAUUACUGGGCGUAAAGCGCGCGUAGGUGUUUUUUUAAGUUGGAUGUGAAAUCCCCGGGCUCAACCUGGGAACUGCAUUCAAAACUGACUGACUAGAGUAUGGUAGAGGGUGGUGGAAUUUCCUGUGUAGCGGUGAAAUGCGUAGAUAUAGGAAGGAACACCAGUGGCGAAGGCGACCACCUGGACUAAUACUGACACUGAGGUGCGAAAGCGUGGGGAGCAAACA
rnacentral:rRNA from 1 species